CUCUCUUUGAGCCAUGUAGAGAAGGAGAAGACUUAAACUGGAGCAAAUCAGUCUGAACUGUCACUCAGGGCAAGGUUCCAAAGAAAGAAGGAGAAAAACAUGAAUCUGCUCUGCCUCUUGCUCUGCCUAUUGGUGGCUCCCCAAUGUGUCUUGUCCCAGGUGCAGCUGAAGGAGUCAGGAUCUGGCCUGGUGAAGCCCUCACAGACCCUGUCCCUCACCUGCUCUGUCUCUGGAUUCUCCAUCAGCAGUAGUUAUUACUGCUGGGCAUGGAUUCGCCAGUCCCCAGGGAAGGGAUUGCAGUGGAUUGGGUGUAUAUAUUACAAUGGAAACACAUACUACAGCUCAUCCCUCAAGAGCCGCAGCUCCAUCACUAGGGACACAUCCAAGAACCAGUUCUCUCUGCAGCUGAGCUCUGUGACUGAAGAAGACACGGCCACAUAUUACUGUGCAAGAGACACAGUGGGAGGAAGUCAGGGUGAGCCCAGACAAGAACCUCCCCUGCAGGGCCCCGGGGAGGCUGGGCUGCAGGGGUGCACAGGAACACAAGAGGGUGCUCAGCACCCACCAGGAGCAGGACCACCAAAGGGAGAGUGA